rnacentral:rRNA from 1 species
UACGUAGGGGGCAAGCGUUAUCCGGAUUUACUGGGUGUAAAGGGAGCGUAGGCGGGAGGAUAAGUUGAAUGUGAAAUCUAUGGGCUCAACCCAUAGCUGCGUUCAAAACUGUUCUUCUUGAGUGAAGUAGAGGCAGGCGGAAUUCCUAGUGUAGCGGUGAAAUGCGUAGAUAUUAGAAGGAACACCAGUGGCGAAGGCGACUUGCUGGGCCAAAACUGACGCUGAGACACGAAAGCGUGGGGAGCAAAUAGG